GGUGGUAGGCGCAGUGGCGGCGGCAACGGUGGCAACCCCCGCUUGGCCAACUCCGCACACUCCUAUAGUGUGGAUACCAACUGGUAUCUGGAUACCGACGCCACUAAUCAUGUUACUAGAGAGUUGGAGAAACUAGCCAUUCAUGAUCGCUACACGGACAACGACCAAAUCCACACGGCUAGUGGUCAAGGUAUGGACAUUGCACAUAUUGGUCAUUCAGUAUUAUCUACUCCCUCUGGUUCCUUGAACUUAUACAAUAUUCUUCAUGCUCCUAGUGCCAACCAAAGUCUCCUUUCUGCCUAUAAUCUUAUGCGAGAUAAUGAUGUGUUUAUUGAACUUCACCUUGAAUUCUUUCUUGUCAAGGAUCAGACUACCCGGAGAACAAUUCUUCAAAACAGGAGUAGAUGGGGCUUGUUCCCGGUGACCGAACGGAAAAGUGCCCCGCAACAUCAAGUGCUUGUUGCCAACAAACCAUCCACAUCUCGGUGGCACAAACAUCUAGGGCAUCUUGCUCUUCCGGUAGUUCAGAAGAUCCUUCAUGACUUCAAUCUGCCCGUUUCAAAUAAGCAAGAUCAUCUCUUAGUGUGUGAUGCAUGUCAGAUGGCCAAGAGCCAUCAUUUACCUUAUUCCCGUUCAACUAGCGAAUCGAUGGCUCCUUUAGAGAUUAUUUUUUCAAAUGAUCGGGGUCCUGGACCCAUCUCUGUAGGAAGACAGAAAUAUUAUGUCAGCUUUAUUGAUGAUUUUAGCAAGUUU
rnacentral:rRNA from 1 species